rnacentral:rRNA from 1 species
CCCUUAGAUGAUUUGGGCUGCACGCGCGCUACACUGACCCUAACAAUGAGCAACUGUCUGGCCUGAGAUGGCUGGGUAGCCUUUUCAACCCAUGUCAUGAUUGGGCUAGAUUUUUGUAAGUCUUGAUCUCUAACGAGGAAUCCCUAGUAUGCGUGAAUCAUCAAUCCAUGCAGAUUAUGUCCCUGCCCUUUGUACACACCGCCCGUCGCUCCUACUGAUUGGACGUUUAAGCAAGAUUUUUAAACACUGACAGUGUGUAGUUCACGCUAUACUACAGUGAGAAGAAGAAGAUCGAGCUUACUUGUCUAGAGGAAGUAAAAGUCGUAACA